AGCAGCAGCCGCGGGAAAACGAAGGGUGCAAGCGUUACUCGGAAUUACUGGGCGUAAAGCGUGCGUAGGUGGUCGUUUAAGUCUGUUGUGAAAGCCCUGGGCUCAACCUGGGAACUGCAGUGGAAACUGGACGACUAGAGUGUGGUAGAGGGUAGCGGAAUUCCUGGUGUAGCAGUGAAAUGCGUAGAGAUCAGGAGGAACAUCCAUGGCGAAGGCAGCUACCUGGACCAACACUGACACUGAGGCACGAAAGCGUGGGGAGCAAACAGGAUUAGAUACCCCUGUAGUCCCUGUCUCUAUACA
rnacentral:rRNA from 1 species